AGCAUUGAGGAAGGGAUGGGAGAACUCGGCUGUUGGGAAAGCGGAGAUUUAACCACCGCAAUAGAACAGUGACAGGAAUCUGCGACACGGAAAGGAAGGGCGUGGCUUUCUGUCAGGCCCCUGAGCGCACAGUAGGUUUUUGGUCGAGCCAAUAGGACCUCCUGAUGUACAGGAUGCAGUAGGUGUGAAAAAGAGAAGAUUCAGGGGAACGUGAGAGUCUGUGGAAGUGCCGGCUACUAUGAGACUGUUUGAAAAAGAGGAAGCGGGAAACUGGAGGUGAGCAAAGUGUAGAGUUUUUGGACAUGAUGUUUGCUAAACUGCCACACCGUUGUCACUGAUAUAUCACUUUUAGACAAGAUUUAUAAAAUUGAGUAUAAUAUUAUGCAAAGUUAAGGAAAUA